rnacentral:rRNA from 1 species
GAUGAACGCUAGCUACAGGCUUAACACAUGCAAGUCGCAGGGUAACAUGAGGAAAGCUUGCUUUCCUUGAUGACGACUGGCGCACGGGUGAGUAACGCGUAUCCAACCUUCCCAUAACUACGGGAUAACCCGUUGAAAGACGGCCUAAUACCGUAUGAUAUCGUUUGCUGACAUCAAAUAACGAUUAAAGGUUUAGCGGUUAUGGAUGGGGAUGCGUCUGAUUAGCUUGUUGGCGGGGUAACGGCCCACCAAGGCUACGAUCAGUAGGGGUUCUGAGAGGAAGGUCCCCCACAUUGGAACUGAGACACGGUCCAAACUCCUAUGGGAGGCAGCAGUGAGGAAUAUUGGUCAAUGGGCGAGAGCCUGAACCAGCCAAGUAGCGUGCAGGACGACGGCCCUAUGGGUUGUAAACUGCUUUUAUGUGGGGAUAAAGUGCGUGACGUGUCAUGCAUUGCAGGUACCACAUGAAUAAGGACCGGCUAAUUCCGUGCCAGCAGCCGCGGUAAUACGGAAGGUCCGGGCGUUAUCCGGAUUUAUUGGGUUUAAAGGGAGCGUAGGCUGUCUAUUAAGCGUGUUGUGAAAUUUACCGGCUCAACCGGUGGCUUGCAGCGCGAACUGGUCGACUUGAGUAUGCAGGAAGUAGGCGGAAUUCAUGGUGUAGCGGUGAAAUGCUUAGAUAUCAUGACGAACUCCGAUUGCGCAGGCAGCUUACUGUAGCAUAAUUGACGCUGAUGCUCGAAAGUGCGGGUAUCCAACAGG